GUGGGGAAUAUUGGGCAAUGGGGGAAACCCUGACCCAGCAACGCCGCGUGAAGGAAGAAGGUUUUCGGAUCGUAAACUUCUAUCCUUGGUGAAGAUAAUGACGGUAGCCAAGAAGGAAGCCCCGGCUAACUACGUGCCAGCAGCCGCGGUAAUACGUAGGGGGCAAGCGUUGUCCGGAAUGAUUGGGCGUAAAGGGCGCGUAGGCGGCCUGGUAAGUCUGGAGGGAAAGUCCUGCUUUUAAGGUGGGAAUUGCUUUGGAUACUGUCGGGCUUGAGUGCAGGAGAGGUAAGCGGAAUUCCCGGUGUAGCGGUGAAAUGCGUAGAGAUCGGGAGGAACACCAGUGGCGAAGGCGGCUUACUGGACUGUAACUGACGCUGAGGCGCGAAAGUGUGGGGAGCAAACAGGAUUAGAAACCCUAGUAGUCC
rnacentral:rRNA from 1 species